rnacentral:rRNA from 1 species
GCUGAAUGUGGGGAUAAUUUAUCUCCGUGUUGAAGCUAACGCGUUAGCACUCCGCCUGGGGACUACGGUCGCAAGACUAAAACUCAAAGGAAUUGACGGGGACCCGCACAAGCGGUGGAGCAUGUGGUUUAAUUCGAUGCAACGCGAAAAACCUUACCACUCCUUGACAUGGAGAUUAGAUCCUUCUUAACGGAAGGGCGCAGUUCGGCUGGGUCUCGCACAGGUGCUGCAUGGCUGUCGUCAGCUCGUGUCGUGAGAUGUUGGGUUAAGUCCCGCAACGAGCGUAACCCUCAUCCUUAGUUGCCAGCGGAUAAUGCCGGGUACUUUAAGGAAACUGCCGGUGGUAAACCGGAGGAAGGUGGGGAUGAUGUCAAGUCAGCACGGCCCUUAUGGGGUGGGCUACACACGUGCUACAAUGGUGACUACAAUAGGUUGCAACGCCGCAAGGCUGAGCUAAUCCAUAAAAGUCAUCUCAGUUCGGAUUGUCCUCUGUAACUCGAGGGCAUGAAGUCGGAAUCGCUAGUAAUCGUGGAUCAGCAUGCCACGGUGAAUACGUUCUCGGGUCUUGUACACACUGCCCGUCACGCCAUGGGAAUUGGCUUAACUCGAAGCUGGUGCGCUAACCGAAAGGAAGCAAGCCAU